AAUUGACGACCACGUCAGAACCCCGACGCCUUCUGGGGGGGAUGGCGACACUUAGAAGGCUGGGAGGGAAACCGGGGCACCGGGUUUCCUUCCGAGACUCAACAGGUUCCUAGGGUUGGCAACGCCGCAAGCGGGCCCAGCGGACCCGAAACUCCAGACCGUUUGCUAAACGUGUAGAGACCAUCACUGACGGCAUCUCGGACAGGGGUUCGACUCCCCUCGCCUCCACUU
rnacentral:tmRNA from 1 species